rnacentral:rRNA from 1 species
UAUGUUAUUAUACACAUUAUCCGCCUGGGUACUACGAGCAUUACCUUAAAACCCAAAGGACUUGGCGGUGCUUUAGACCCCCCUAGGAGGAGCCUGUUUCUAGAACCGAUGAUCCCCGUUCAACCUCACCCUUCCCUGUAACCGCCUAUAUACCGCCGUCGCCAGCCCACCCUGUGAAGGAACUACAGUGGGCCACCCCGGUAAUACCCCCAAUGUCAGGUCGAGGUGUAGCGUAAGGAAGGGAAUGUAAUGGGCUACAUUCGCUGCCUCAGCGAACCACGAAAGAUACAUUGAAAGACUGUGUCUGAAGGCGGAUUUAGCAGUAAGGAGAGAGUAGAGUGCUCUCCUGAAACCGGCUCUUAAGCGUGCACACACCGCCCGUCACCCUCUGCAGU